rnacentral:lncRNA from 1 species
CCUGGUGAACCCUGAUCUCGGCCGGGUGCUCAGCUCUGGAGGGCUUGCAAAGUCCUGCAAGUGUCUGUGCAUGGAGAAGAAAACUUCAUCCUUAGGGCAAGUAACACACCAACUGACAUUGACCGGCAAGCAGCCAGCUGUAGCCCAACCUGCCCUUGGAGAGACAGCAUUGAAACAAACUUACAGGAUUCAUAACAAGAGCUUCCUCCACAUAGUUUCUCCUGCUAUUUUCCUAAAAAUCUACAACCACCACCAUUCUUCCCCCACCCUUGCCCGCAAUUUCGGCUUAUACUGCUUAUUAAGAACUGAUGAAAAAUCUGAAUACAGUAAAAAUUGAAUCCAGACACACAGGACAAUCUCUGCAAAUUCUUUCCCCUCCUUUUGUCCUGCUCUUGUUUUAGACUGUUUCGUAAAUGUAUUUCUUAAAUGUACUUUGUAAAUCUUUGAAAACAAUUAACAUUGUCUGAAAUACUUCAGAGUGAAUAAAACAUGCAGUAUCAUACCAUGAUCUUGGCUAGUUUUGUGUAUGAUAUGAAAAGCCAAGUGCCAGGCAGCUUUAGCUCCAGUUAGCAGUUGAACUUCAAGUUUUAGUGUAUUUCUUUUUUUGUAAACUCUGAUUGCCACCACCAAUGCCCCCACCUGGUUUUUGAAGAGCCAAAAUUACUAGAUUCUGAUAUUUUUCAGGUAUUAUGGGCCCGAAUUAUAAAGUGGCUUCCUUGUUAAU